GAUCCUGGCUCAGGAUGAACGCUAGCGGCAGGCCUAAUACAUGCAAGACGAACGGUAAGCUUUGUAGCAAUACGGAGCCUAGAGUGGCGUAAGGGUGCGUAACACGUAUGCAAUCUGCCCACAGCCGGGAGAUAGCCCUCCGAAAGGAGGAUUAAUAUCCCAUAGGAAGAUGAGAUGGCAUCUAUUUUAUUUUUAAACUACGGGGCUGUGGAUGAGCAUGCGGUUGAUUAGCUAGUUGGCGGGGUAAAGGCCCACCAAGGCGAUGAUCAAUAGGGGACCUGAGAGGGUGACUCCCCCACACUGGCACUGAGACACGGUCCAGACUCCUACGGGAGGCAGCAGGUGGGGAAUAUUGGACAAUGGGGGAAACCCUGAUCCAGCCAUGCCGCGUGAGUGAUGAAGGCCUUAGGGUUGUAAAGCUCUUUUGUCAGGGAAGAUGAUGACGGUACCUGAAGAAUAAGCACCGGCUAACUUCGUG
rnacentral:rRNA from 1 species